CAGUCGCCGCGGUAAUACAGAGGGUGCAAGCGUUAAUCGGAUUUACUGGGCGUAAAGGGCGCGUAGGUGGUUAUUUAAGUGAGAUGUGAAAGCCCCGGGCUUAACCUGGGAACUGCAUCUUAUACUGGGUAACUGGAGUGCAGUAGAGGGUAGUGGAAUUUCCGGUGUAGCGGUGAAAUGCGUAGAUAUCGGAAGGAACACCAGUGGCGAAGGCGGCUACCUGGACUGAGACUGACACUGAGGCGCGAGAGCGUGGGGAGCAAACAGGAUUAGAUACCCCCGUAGUCCCUGUCUCUUAUAC
rnacentral:rRNA from 1 species